UCUCUCCGAAAUAGCUUUAGGGCUAGCCUCAAGUGAUGAUUAUUGGAGGUAGAGCACUGUUUGGACGAGGGGCCCCUCUCGGGUUACCGAAUUCAGACAAACUCCGAAUGCCAAUUAAUUUAACUUGGGAGUCAGAACAUGGGUGAUAAGGUCCGUGUUCGAAAGGGAAACAGCCCAGACCACCAGCUAAGGUCCCAAAAUAUAUGUUAAGUGGAAAAGGAUGUGGCGUUGCCCAGACAACUAGGAUGUUGGCUUAGAAGCAGCCAUCAUUUAAAGAGUGCGUAAUAGCUCACUAGUCGAGUGACACUGCGCCGAAAAUGUACCGGGGCUAAACAUAUUACCGAAGCUGUGGAUUGUCCUUUGGACAAUGGUAGGAGAGCGUUCUAAGGGCGUUGAAGCAUGAUCGUAAGGACAUGUGGAGCGCUUAGAAGUGAGAAUGCCGGUGUGAGUAGCGAAAGACGGGUGAGAAUCCCGUCCACCGAUUGACUAAGGUUUCCAGAGGAAGGCUCGUCCGCUCUGGGUUAGUCGGGUCCUAAGCUGAGGCCGACAGGCGUAGGCGAUGGAUAACAGGUUGAUAUUCCUGUACCACCUAUAAUCGUUUUAAUCGAUGGGGGGACGCAGUAGGAUAGGCGAAGCGUGCGAUUGGAUUGCACGUCUAAGCAGUAAGGCUGAGUAUUAGGCAAAUCCGGUACUCGUUAAGGCUGAGCUGUGAUGGGGAGAAGACAUUGAGUCUUCGAGUCGUUGAUUUCACACUGCCGAGAAAAGCCUCUAGAUAGAAAAUAGGUGCCCGUACCGCAAACCGACACAGGUAGUCAAGAUGAGAAUUCUAAGGUGAGCGAGCGAACUCUCGUUAAGGAACUCGGCAAAAUGACCCCGUAACUUCGGGAGAAGGGGUGCUCUUUAGGGUUAACGCCCAGAAGAGCCGCAGUGAAUAGGCCCAAGCGACUGUUUAUCAAAAACACAGGUCUCUGCUAAACCGUAAGGUGAUGUAUAGGGGCUGACGCCUGCCCGGUGCUGGAAGGUUAAGAGGAGUGGUUAGCUUCUGCGAAGCUACGAAUCGAAGCCCCAGUAAACGGCGGCCGUAACUAUAACGGUCCUAAGGUAGCGAAAUUCCUUGUCGGGUAAGUUCCGACCCGCACGAAAGGCGUAACGAUUUGGGCACUGUCUCAACGAGAGACUCGGUGAAAUCAUAGUACCUGUGAAGAUGCAGGUUACCCGCGACAGGACGGAAAGACCCCGUGGAGCUUUACUGUAGCCUGAUAUUGAAAUUCGGCACAGCUUGUACAGGAUAGGUAGGAGCCUUUGAAACGUGAGCGCUAGCUUACGUGGAGGCGCUGGUGGGAUACUACCCUAGCUGUGUUGGCUUUCUAACCCGCACCACUUAUCGUGGUGGGAGACAGUGUCAGGCGGGCAGUUUGACUGGGGCGGUCGCCUCCUAAAAGGUAACGGAGGCGCUCAAAGGUUCCCUCAGAAUGGUUGGAAAUCAUUCAUAGAGUGUAAAGGCAUAAGGGAGCUUGACUGCGAGACCUACAAGUCGAGCAGGGUCGAAAGACGGACUUAGUGAUCCGGUGGUUCCGCAUGGAAGGGCCAUCGCUCAACGGAUAAAAGCUACCCCGGGGAUAACAGGCUUAUCUCCCCCAAGAGUUCACAUCGACGGGGAGGUUUGGCACCUCGAUGUCGGCUCAUCGCAUCCUGGGGCUGUAGUCGGUCCCAAGGGUUGGGCUGUUCGCCCAUUAAAGCGGUACGCGAGCUGGGUUCAGAACGUCGUGAGACAGUUCGGUCCCUAUCCGUCGUGGGCGUAGGAAAUUUGAGAGGAGCUGUCCUUAGUACGAGAGGACCGGGAUGGACAUACCUCUGGUGUACCAGUUGUCGUGCCAACGGCAUAGCUGGGUAGCUAUGUGUGGACGGGAUAAGUGCUGAAAGCAUCUAAGCAUGAAGCCCCCCUCAAGAUGAGAUUUCCCAACUUCGGUUAUAAGAUCCCUCAAAGAUGAUGAGGUUAAUAGGUUCGAGGUGGAAGCAUGGUGACAUGUGGAGCUGACGAAUACUAAUCGAUCGAAGACUUAAUCAA
rnacentral:rRNA from 1 species